rnacentral:rRNA from 1 species
CGGGUGAGUAAUGUCUGGGAAACUGCCUGAUGGAGGGGGAUAACUACUGGAAACGGUAGCUAAUACCGCAUAACGUCGCAAGACCAAAGAGGGGGACCUUCGGGCCUCUUGCCAUCGGAUGUGCCCAGAUGGGAUUAGCUAGUAGGUGGGGUAACGGCUCACCUAGGCGACGAUCCCUAGCUGGUCUGAGAGGAUGACCAGCCACACUGGAACUGAGACAUGGUCCAG